rnacentral:rRNA from 1 species
UACAGAGACUGCAAGCGUUAUUCGGAUUCACUGGGCGUAAAGGGUGCGCAGGCGGCCGGGUGUGUGAGGCGUGAAAGCCUGGGGCUUAACCCCAGAAUUGCACCUCAAACUACACGGCUAGAGCAUUGGAGAGGGUAGCAGAAUUCAUGGUGUAGCAGUGAAAUGCGUAGAUAUCAUGAGGAAUACCAGAGGCGAAGGCGGCUACCUGGACAAUUGCUGACGCUCAGGCACGAAAGCGUGGGGAGCAAAAGGG